GAUGAACGCUGGCGGCGUGCUUAACACAUGCAAGUCGAACGGAAAGGCCGAGACUUGCUUCGUUUCUCGUUUGGGGAACGGGUGUGUAACACGUGGGUGAUCCGCCCUGUACUUCGGGAUAAGCCUGCGAAACUGGGUCUCAUACCGGAUAUGACGAUCUCUUGGGCGGGGUUGUGUAAUGCUUUUGCGGUAUGGGAUGAGGUCGCGGAGUAUCAGCUUGUUGGUGGCGUCAUGGCCUACCAAGGCGUUGACGGGUAGCCGGCCUGCGAGGGUGUACGGACGCACUAGAACUGAGAUGCGGCCCAGACUCGGACGGGAGGCAGCAGUGGGGAAUAUUGCACGAUGGACGCAAGCAUGAGGCGGGGACGCCGCGUGGGCGAUGACGGCCUUCGGGUGGUAAACUCCUUUCGCAAUCGACGUAGGCUCUUGGUGACGGUAGGUUGAGAAGAAGCAACGGCUAACUACGUG
rnacentral:rRNA from 1 species